GCCUGGGUGGCUCAGUCGGUUGAGCAUUCGACUUCAGCUCAGGUCACGAUCUCGCGGUCCGUGAGUUCGAGCCCCACAUCGGGCU
rnacentral:tRNA from 1 species